GUGCCUGACAGACUUUCCUUAGCAGAGCUGUGGAGUGUGACAAUGGUGUUUGUGUCCAAACCAUCAAACGCCAUUAUCACACUAAAUAGCUACUGCUAGGCAAUCCGUCCACUCCACG
rnacentral:pre_miRNA from 7 species